UGGAAAUAUGGACUUACACUUGGCUGA
rnacentral:piRNA from 1 species